AAACGAGUAAACUUAAGGUCUGUCAUUUUGACAAAUGCCCUAUCCUCGAUGAAGAUAUCGUAGAGAAACGACGUAAGCGGCAAAGUCCGUUAGGAAAAGGGUGCAGGGAAAAUCGUCGGUUGGUCGAAGAUGAAAAAGUACAAGCUCGGUCGAGCGUUAGAAUCCGUUAGAGAGGAUUUCCGUGUAGGCAAACACGGGGCUGAGUGAAAUAUGUAUGCUAUAUCCUAUAUUUUUUUGGAAACGCAUAAAUCAAACUACACAUUUUUUGAAAAUAUGUAUUAUGAAAAAGGAUAAGCAAUUGACGCGACAGGAACAUCCUGUAGGAAUCCUGCAGUUUGAUUGUGCAAGGCAGAUGCUGCUUCUAAAUAGCAGUUGGUGUCCGCUGUGUUAAACAAUUUGAUUUCGUCUCUGAUUGGGACGCGGGAGAAUCUUGGACGAGGGAUGCAACUCCACGGCCCAGGUCGUGAGGGUCCGCCACAAUCAGUGUAGCCGUAGGGCUACGACUUCGGUAGCCUUCCACGUCAAAAGACGAACUCCGACAUUGUGAUGACAUGGAAUCUUGAUGUUCUGGAAUCUGGACUGUAUUCGUUUCUCCAUGUUCGAGUAAACGUCAUAGAUGUGAAGUUCAAACAUUGAUUUUUCAAUUUAUUAUAGAAGAUAGAAUUUUGUUCAUGCAGGGAUGAAAAUGAUUGAAAUGAUAUCUUAUAGUGUUUUAUAAUCUUGUAGAGGUAAAUGAAUGAGGAGAUAUAAUCAUUUUUUUGUAGAAGAUAUAAAUUUUGGUGAUAAAGAGGUAAAGAAGAUUGGAGUGAUUUUUGUAUUAUUUACAAUUUUGUAGUUGUAUGCAAAGUGAACUUUAAAUAUUGCUUUUGAAAGAAGAUUCAAAUUUUUACAAUA
rnacentral:misc_RNA from 1 species